UUUCUGCUCUCGAUGAAGGAAAGUAGGCAGAGAGAAGAGAGCGUAUUAUCUUAGACAUAUAUAUUUUUAUUCAUUAAUUACUGCAAUUUACUGGUUAUUGUUUCACUAUGGAAAUUGACUUGUCAAUGUUUCCUUGCUACAUUUCAGUUAAAGGGUGGACACAAAAUGAUGUGUGGUGUUGAGUUGAUGUUUUCUGAGAACAACACGUUACCUUAUACUUCUUCUUUCCUUUUAAAUUUAAUAUAGGUUUGUUGUGUUGGACAGACAGAUAGAUGUCAGUCUUGAAAAUGAAACCCUUUUUUUGCCCAAGCAGAAACGGUUGUCCACCCCAAAGCCACGCUGACAUUUCAACAGCAUUUUGUUUAUUGUCUGCAUUAAUUAGGGUAAAUUCAACAGUCUUGUCUUUAGCUUGAGUCAGAUGUGCUUCUGCAUCUUCGUCAGGUAGAGAGAGCCUGGUUGCAAUUGAUUAAUGUAGAAACAACUUUCCUGUUCGGGAUAUUCUGUAGCAACAAUGUGAUGUUGUCUUGUUACUGUUAGCCAAUAUUCACUGGUCUUCAAAAAGCAUGGAACACGUUCAUCUAACAAAAAGAAGUUACAUACUAGUUUCUGAUUAUGCCAUGUCAAAUAUAUAGCACACAAAAAUGUUGGACAAUACCUUCCGGUUCAAAUUGAAAUCGGCAUGCCAUCUCUAGACCAUCUUGCCACAUCUUACCGACAAGCUUACUGAUGGGAGAGAAUUUAACCAGAAUGACCUUCUCUUGAUCACGACUGAUCUCUGUGUCACCACUUUUCAUUUGUACUGAGCAAACGACAAGUCUACUGCUGUCGCUGUAACUUCUGCAUUUACAUCUGUCUCAUUUGUCGUUUCUCCAGCCUGCUCAGUAGAGUACUCAACGAUCUUGGCUCCAAGAUCAACAGAAGACACAAAAUGAGUAGCUUUGUCUACUCUAGGAGACAUCAACAGUUGUCGACAAACUUCUAUUUUUUCAAUCAGACUUCCACCUUCCAUCACCUUUUUGUCUUUAGCAAUUUUGUUUAGUUUCUCACUCAAAUAAUUUGCUUUACGCAAACAUUCCACGCGUGGAGCAAGGGUUAUCCUACUCGCAUCACUAGCUGUGGUGACGUCUGCGUUUGCUAGAACACUUGGGAUGUAUUUAAUAAGAUAGUCACGAAAACAAAGAG